UGGCGGCCACAGACCAAAGAAGACUUCAGGUGGCUUCAGGGACAAGAAACAGAGACAGUGGCACUGCGGACCCCUUGAGUUCUCGCUGUCACCAUUCCUGAGGGCCCUGGCCCAGGUGCUCCAGAGCCCACAGACGGGAAUCCUGGAAAAGCAGAGCGAGAAUCCUUCCCCGAGUUAGCUCUCCCACGUUCCCGCAGCCCACUCGGGAGAGGAAGGGAGAGAGAAAGAGUGCGAGCAGGGGAGAG